rnacentral:tRNA from 1 species
GGAUAUUUGGUCUAGUGGUAUGAUUCUCACUUCAGGUGCGAGAGGUUAUGAGUUCAAUUCUUGAAAUACCCU